rnacentral:rRNA from 1 species
CGAAAUAGCUUUAGGGCUAGCCUCAAGGUGAGAGAUACGGAGGUAGAGCACUGAAUGUCCUAGGGGGUAUUGCACCUACCGAAGACUAUCAAACUCCGAAUGCCGUCAUCUUAUACUUGGAGUCAGACUGUGGGUGAUAAGAUUCAUAGUCGAAAGGGCAACAGCCAGAUCGUCAGCUAAGGUCCCUAAAUGUAAGUUAAGUGGUAAAGGAUGUGGGAUUGCACAGACAACCAGGAUGUUGGCUUAGAAGCAGCCACUCAUUCAAAGAGUGCGUAAUAGCUCACUGGUCGAGUGAUCCUGCGCCGAAGAUUUCCGGGCUAAAACUUACUACCGAAGCUACGGCAUCAGUAAUGAUGGGUAGGGGAGCUUCCCAUACGGGUUGAAGCAUGACCGUAAGGACAUGUGGACAGUAUGGGAGUGAGAAUGUUGGCAUGAGUAGCGAGAUGUGGGUGAGAAUCCCACAGGCCGUAAACCCAAGGUUUCCAGGGGAAGGUUCGUCCGCCCUGGGUUAGUCGGGACCUAAGCUGAGGCCGAAAGGCGUAGGUGAUGGACAACAGGUUGAUAUUCCUGUACUACCGAUAACCGUUUGAGAGAUGGGAUGACACAGUAGGAUAAGCUAAGCACACUGUUGGUUAUGUGUGCCCAAGCAUUGAGGCAGUCAAAGUAGGUAAAUCCGCUUUGAUAAUGCUGGGAUGUGAUGGGGAGCGAAAUUUAGUAGCGAAGUAGCUGAUUUCACACUGUCAAGAAAAGUCUCUAUCGAGGUUAAAGGUACCCGUACCGCAAACCGACACAGGUGGGUGAGGAGAGUAUCCUAAGGCCAGCGAGAGAACUGUUGUUAAGGAACUCGGCAAAAUGACCCCGUAACUUAGGGAUAAGGGGUGCCACCAUCAGGUGGCCGCAGAGAAUAGGCCCAAGCGACUGUUUACCAAAAACAUAGGUUUCUGCUAAGUCGCAAGACGAUGUAUAGGAGCUGACGCCUGCCCGGUGCUGGAAGGUUAAGGGGAUCUGUUAGAGCAAUCGAAGCAGUGAACUUAAGCCCCAGUAAACGGCGGCCGUAACUAUAACGGUCCUAAGGUAGCGAAAUUCCUUGUCGGGUAAGUUCCGACCCGCACGAAAGGCGUAACGAUUUGGGCACUGUCUCAACAACAGACUCGGUGAAAUUGUAAUUCCGGUGAAGAUGCCGGAUACCUGCGACAGGACGGAAAGACCCCAUGGAGCUUUACUGUAGCUUGACAUUGGGUCUUGGUACUACAUGUACAGGAUAGGUGGGAGGCUUUGAAACCAGGACGCCAGUUUUGCGGAGCCAUCCUUGGGAUACCACCCUUGUAGUACUGGGACUCUAACCAUAGGCCAUGAAUCUGGUCUUGGGACACUGUCAGGUGGGCAGUUUGACUGGGGCGGUCGCCUCCCAAAAGGUAACGGAGGCGCUCAAAGGUUCUCUCAGUACGGUCGGAAAUCGUACGUAGAGUGUAAAGGCAAAAGAGAGCUUGAUUGCAAGACAUACAGGUCGAGCAAGGAUGAAAAUCGGACUUAGUGAUCCGGUGGUUCUGCGUGGAAGGGCCAUCGCUCAACGGAUAAAAGCUACCCUGGGGAUAACAGGCUUAUCUCCCCCAAGAGUCCACAUCGACGGGGAGGUUUGGCACCUCGAUGUCGGCUCAUCACAUCCUGGGGCUGUAGUAGGUCCAAGGGUUGGGCUGUUCGCCCAUUAAAGUGGUACGCGAGCUGGGUUCAGAACGUCGUGAGACAGUUCGGUCCCUAUCCGUCGCAGGCGUAGGAAAUUUGAGAAGACCUGUCCUUAGUACGAGAGGACCGGGAUGGACGUACCUCUGGUGUACCAGUUGUCCUGCCAAGGGCAUGGCUGGGUAGCUAUGUGCGGAAUGGAUAAGCGCUGAAAGCAUCUAAGCGCGAAGCCAACUUCAAGAUAAGAUUUCCCACCGCAAGGGUAAGACCCAGAAAGACUAUCUGGUUGAUAGGUCGAAGGUGUAAGUGCAGCAAUGUAUUUAGCUUAUCGAUACUAAUAGGUCGAGGACUUGACCAA